rnacentral:rRNA from 1 species
UACGGAGGGUGCAAGCGCUAUCCGGAUUCACUGGGUUUAAAGGGAGCGCAGGCGGGCUGGUAAGUCAGUGGUGAAAGCCUUGAGCUUAACUCGAGAACUGCCAUUGAUACUAUCAGUCUUGAAUAUUGUUGAGGUUUGCGGAAUGGGUCAUGUAGCGGUGAAAUGCAUAGAUAUGACCCGGAACACCUAUUGCGAAGGCAGCAGGCUAAACAAAGAUUGACGCUGAGGCUCGAAAGCGUGGGGAUCAAACAGG